rnacentral:rRNA from 1 species
GCUUGCUGCGGGUACUCGAGUGGCGAACGGGUGAGUAACACGUGGGUGAUCUGCCUUGCACUUCGGGAUAAGCUCGGGAAACUGGGUCUAAUACCGGAUAGGACAGCUGUUUAGUGUCAGUUGUGGAAAGUUUUUUCGGUGCAAGAUGAGCUCGCGGCCUAUCAGCUUGUUGGUGGGGUAAUGGCCUACCAAGGCGUCGACGGGUAGCCGGCCUGAGAGGGUGGACGGCCACAUUGGGACUGAGAUACGGCCCAGACUCCUACGGGAGGCAGCAGUGGGGAAUAUUGCACAAUGGGCGGAAGCCUGAUGCAGCGACGCCGCGUGGGGGAUGAAGGCCUUCGGGUUGUAAACUCCUUUCGACAGGGACGAAGCUUUUGUGACGGUACCUGUAUAAGAAGCACCGGCUAACUACGUGCCAGCAGCCGCGGUAAUACGUAGGGUGCGAGCGUUGUCCGGAAUUACUGGGCGUAAAGAGCUCGUAGGUGGUUUGUCGCGUCGUCUGUGAAAUUCCGGGGCUUAACUCCGGGCGUGCAGGCGAUACGGGCUGACUUGAGUGCUGUAGGGGAGACUGGAAUUCCUGGUGUAGCGGUGAAAUGCGCAGAUAUCAGGAGGAACACCGAUGGCGAAGGCAGGUCUCU